UAGGGUGGGAGCAGAGGGUGUGGCGGCGGCGGAGAGGGAGGGUUUCGAAUGGGCGGCGGCGCGGCGGGUGGCUGGCGGCGCUGGGGCGGGGUGGAGCAGGGAGAGUUUGGGAUGUGCGGUGGCGCGGCGGGUGGCUGACAGCGACGGGGGCGGGGCGGAGCAGGGAGGGUUUGGGAUGGGCGGCGGCGCGGCGGGUGGCUGGCGACGCCGGGGGCGGGGCGGAGCGGGGAGGGAGGGUGGCUGCUCCUUUUCUCCGUGUGGUGCUCGUCGAUGUGGUGGCCCGCGACGAGGCAACAACACACACCCAUUGGCCACCGGGCGCAGCCACCUCGUCCCUCCUCUACCUCCCAGGGCGCCGCCGGCGAGUACCCCCUCCAGACCCCGAACAUGCGGGGGCAGCACCGACGAAACCUCGUCGUGGCCGUAGGCCGCAGCCGGUGCGCUCCUCUCCGCGCACGAGCGUCCCCCUCCGCGGCCUAGAGUGCCCCGUUCACGCGGUCGCUGGACUCCAUCUCCACUGCUAAUGUUCUAGUUCCACACCUUGAUGUUUCGUUCGAUGUUGUUUACCGACGAGCAGGGGAGGAGGGAGACACUCUUCCUGCUGAACCCGUAGGGACCCGUAGAGUUGGUGUACUUCUUUUACAAGUACCUAAUGUUCAAAUAUUGAUCUUUAAACCACGCGUUUCCGUGUUAAAAGAAGAUCCCGAAGUAGACGUUUAGGUGUUUUCAUACUUUCCUAGUUGAACAGCUUCACCAUCUUCUUCGAUCCCCCUUUCUCUUUUACUUAGUCUAGAGUGGACGUCCCUCUCUCCUGAAUGCGUUGGUUGGUCAACGGUAGCCUCCGAACAGAUUAAGGAACGCACUACGGAAGGACAACGAGGUUGUUGCUGCGGCAAGCGGCGCCGAGAGACUACCGGCGGCGUCUAUAAGAGGUUGUUGGCGGCGACAAGACUGGCACUGCGGAGGAGCUGCUGAACGGCGACUAGAGACUCCUAGUCGGCGACGAAAAAAAGUUGUUGCCCCAACGACGACUAAGAGAGUUCGGGCCUUGACACUGGUCUCUCUUCUUGUUACUUCUAGGUCCCUUGAGGGGAAAGAAAUGAGAAGGAACAGAGGCACUACAGAACAAAGAGAGAACUUACGGAUCCUAGUGUAUAGAUCAUCUUAGUUCAACAAGAGCGAAUUUAAGUUAGUGAAUGGUACGCUGUGACUAAAAAACAAUUAUGUAACAGGUUCAGUAUUUAAAGGACUUGAUCACGUACAUAUAUAAACCCACGAUCAGUUAAUCUCUUACAGGCACUAUGGUACAAACAUGAUGCACGAUCACAUCGACAUAACUACGUUUAUGACGAACACAGGAAUACUUAAUCAUUUAUCGGAAAGUACAGUAAGAGGUUCAAACGUGUAUCGUAACAAUAAAAUCCUCGUCUAAAGAGUAGGAACAAACCUAUUCUUUGGACUUGAACGAAUUAUCGGUUAAAUCAACACAUAAUGGUCAAGUUCAACAAAACAUAUAUAGUACAAGACAAAACGAUGGCCUGUGGAAGUUGAAUUUACGACUUAACGGAACAUGUGUAUUAACAUACAUUAGAUUCCCUUUCGGGAAUUAUCAGUCGACUGGAAUACUUGACAUAUUUACAUAUUUUUAGAACACAACAAUUUGGCUCGAAUAUCUGUUAACCGUUGGAGAAUAACAUCAUCGACCUGGAAGAAGGUGGUAGGGAGAUUAUUUCCUAUUUAGUACUACGAAGACGACAGUAUUGAACAAAAGAACAAAUGGUAGGUCCAUGUUACCCUGGUUCGAGUUGGAGGAGUAGGCAUCGAUGAUGUGCUGACGGUAGGACAUAUAAGGGAGGUCAAGUACCUCGUAUACUUGGAGAAUGACAUCAUCGACCACUUACUUCAAAGGUUUACAACUUCCUCCUCCUGUUAUCCUUGAAGACAAUACAGAAUACUUCAAAAGUUUACAACUACCUCCUAUUAUCCUUAAAGACAAUACAGAACAGCAGAUUUAAAGACAAGAUCAAAAGAAACAGCAUCUUAUCAAAACAAACCAUGAAUUACAAGAACCCUACAUUUUUAUACAUAACGACCUUACUUACCAACAUUAUAUUAUUGUAACGUGCAACGAAACUUUUACAUAGUCUUGACCCGAUCCGGGUUCUAUCGAAAACCACACUACACAACAUUACAGUUACCG
rnacentral:rRNA from 1 species